UACGUAGGGGGCUAGCGUUGUCCGGAAUCAUUGGGCGUAAAGCGCGUGUAGGCGGCUCGGUAAGUCCGCUGUGAAAGUCGAGGGCUCAACCCUCGAAAGCCGGUGGAUACUGCCGGGCUCGAGGCAGGUAGGGGAGAGUGGAAUUCCCGGUGUAGCGGUGAAAUGCGCAGAUAUCGGGAGGAACACCGGUGGCGAAGGCGGCUCCCUGGGCCUGUCCUGACGCUCAGGCGCGAAAGCUGGGGGAGCGAAC
rnacentral:rRNA from 1 species